rnacentral:tRNA from 1 species
GGCGCGAUGGCCGAGUAGUUAGGCAGAGGUCUGCAAAACCUUGUACACCGGUGCGAUUCCGGUUCGCGCCU